rnacentral:rRNA from 1 species
AACGAACGCUGGCGGCAUGCCUAACACAUGCAAGUCGAACGAUUGCCUUCGGGUGAUAGUGGCGCACGGGUGCGUAACGCGUGGGAAUCUGCCCUUAGGUUCGGAAUAACAGCUGGAAACGGCUGCUAAUACCGGAUGAUAUCGCGAGAUCAAAGAUUUAUCGCCUGAGGAUGAGCCCGCGUUGGAUUAGGUAGUUGGUGGGGUAAAGGCCUACCAAGCCGACGAUCCAUAGCUGGUCUGAGAGGAUGAUCAGCCACACUGGGACUGAGACACGGCCCAGACUCCAACGGGAGGAAGAAGUGGGGAAUAUUGGAAAACGGGCGAAAGACUGAGCCAGCAAUGCCGCGUGAGUGAUGAAGGCCCUAGGGUUGUAAAGCUCUUUUACCCGGGAAGAUAAUGACUGUACCGGGAGAAUAAGACCCGGCUAACUCAGUG